UACGUAGGGUGCAAGCGUUGUCCGGAAUUAUUGGGCGUAAAGAGCUCGUAGGCGGUUCGUCGCGUCGGCUGUGAAAACCUGAGGCUCAACCUCAGGCCUGCAGUCGAUACGGGCGGACUUGAGUACUGCAGGGGAGACUGGAAUUCCUGGUGUAGCGGUGAAAUGCGCAGAUAUCAGGAGGAACACCGGUGGCGAAGGCGGGUCUCUGGGCAGUAACUGACGCUGAGGAGGGAAAGCGUGGGGAGCGAACAGG
rnacentral:rRNA from 1 species